AUAAAAUAGAAUGCAAAGUUCCUUGAUCCAGUACGCUGUGUUGUUCGGGCAAAAAUAAAGAAGAAAAAAAUUUUAAUGGGUUUCGGAUCUGAUCCGUCUAUCCACUACAUAUAUCAAUUUUUUCUUCACAAUUUAUUUUUUCAAAUUACUCGCACCAUAAAACUGUCGAUGAGUCAGAGUGAAAAUUAGACUCAGUUGUCAAUUUCGAGGCAUGUCUAGCAAAUCAG
rnacentral:lncRNA from 1 species